AGUGAACGCUGGCGGCAGGCCUAACACAUGCAAGUCGAACGGCAGCACAGAGGAGCUUGCUCCUUGGGUGGCGAGUGGCGGACGGGUGAGGAAUACAUCGGAAUCUGCCUUAUCGUGGGGGAUAACGUAGGGAAACUUACGCUAAUACCGCAUACGACCUACGGGUGAAAGCGGAGGACCGCAAGGCUUCGCGCGAUAAG
rnacentral:rRNA from 1 species